GAUGAACGCUAGCGGAAGGCUUAAUACAUGCAAGUCGAGGGGUAACAGGGGAGCUUGCUCCCGCUGACGACCGGCGAACGGGUGAGUAACGCGUACACAACCUACCUUCAAGAGGGGGAUAGCCCCGGGAAACUGGGAUUAAUACCGCAUAGAAUCACAGUCACGCAUGUGACAAUGAUUAAAGUUUAGGCGCUUGAAGAUGGGUGUGCGUUCUAUUAGGUAGUUGGUGAGGUAACGGCUCACCAAGCCGACGAUAGAUAGGGGGCGUGAGAGCGUGGUCCCCCACACGGGUACUGAGACACGGACCCGACUCCUACGGGAGGCAGCAGUAAGGAAUAUUGGACAAUGGGCGCAAGCCUGAUCCAGCCAUUCCGCGUGCAGGAUGACGGCCCUCUGGGUUGUAAACUGCUUUUAUUUGGGAAGAAACCCCUGGAUUUAUCUGGGGCUGACGGUACCAAACGAAUAAGCACCGGCUAAUUCCGUGCCAGCCGCCGCCGUAACAC
rnacentral:rRNA from 1 species